rnacentral:misc_RNA from 1 species
UUGAUUCAUUUUUUGUUUGUGAGACUCAGAGAGUAUGCCACUGUUUAAAGCAAGAGUUUGGGUCCUCCGGCGGGCGCCUGGGUCCGGGCCGCGAGUUGGGCGCCGGGGCGGUCCCGCCGAGGCAACGUUCAGGUAUGUUCACAGGGGUUUGGGAGUUGAUAACUCGGUAAUGAUCCCUCCGCUGGUUCACCAACGGAGA